rnacentral:rRNA from 1 species
CUACGAAAGGGCAACUCUAAUGAGACUGCCGGUGACAAACCGGAGGAAGGUGGGGAUGACGUCAAGUCCUCAUGGCCCUUAUAGGUGGGGCUACACACGUCAUACAAUGGCUGGUACAAAGGGUUGCCAACCGCAGGGGGAGCCAAUCCCAUAAAGCCAGUCGUAGUCCGGAUCGCAGUCUGCAACUCGACUGCGUGAAGUCGGAAUCGCUAGUAAUCGUGGAUCAGCAUGUCACGGUGAAUACGUUCCCGGGUCUU